GCCUGGGUGGCUCAGUCGGUUGAGCAUCCAACUUCGGCUCAGGACAUGAUGUCAUAGUUUGUGGGUUUGAGCCCCACAUCGGGCU
rnacentral:tRNA from 1 species